GUUACUCGGGGGUUCGAAUCCUUCCGUCCCAG
rnacentral:tRNA from 1 species